CAGCACCUCAAGUGGUCAGGAUGAUUAUUGGGCCUAAAGCAUCCGUAGCCGGCGCUGUAAGUUUUCGGUUAAAUCUGUACGCUCAACGUACAGGCUGCCGGGAAUACUGCAGCGCUAGGGAGUGGGAGAGGUAGACGGUACUCGGUAGGAAGGGGUAAAAUCCUUUGAUCUAUUGAUGACCACCUGUGGCGAAGGCGGUCUACCAGAACACGUCCGACGGUGAGGGAUGAAAGCUGGGGGAGCGAACCGGAUUAGAUACCCGAGUAGUCC
rnacentral:rRNA from 1 species